CGCCUGGUCACAUCCUAAUAUCCUAAACAGUGAGAGACAUACUUUGGCGUUAUUAGUGAUAAAGUUAUGUCUUUUUCUUGGGGAAUCAAGAAACAAAGAUCAAUUGGAGAUCAUAUCUGCUCCCUGAUGUCUAGUGUCAUCAGUUAAGUACUCUCAAUCUAUUUCUCUCUCUCUCUCCACUCAAUAAUGCCACAGGAAAGAAAAAGAAGGAAGUUAUAGUUUGAUAGUGAGAUUGUCAUGUCAAAAGCAGGUUUUUUUCAUCGUUUAGUGAAAUUGGUAGGGACUUUAUUUAGUGGUUUUAUAAAGUAGAAACGCUAAGUGACAAGACAACAAUACUUUUGAGAUUUCUCUUGUGUGUGGUUUGGUUUUUAGUGU